rnacentral:rRNA from 1 species
UAGGGAAUCUUCCACAAUGGACGCAAGUCUGAUGGAGCAACGCCGCGUGAGUGAAGAAGGGUUUCGGCUCGUAAAGCUCUGUUGUUAAAGAAGAACGUGGGUAAGAGUAACUGUUUACCCAGUGACGGUAUUUAACCAGGAAGCCACGGCUAACUACGUACCAG